UCUUCCUCUUCCCCGAUUCCGAUCAAGAAUCGAAGUCCUAGGGCCAUUAAAAGACCCUAGGACGAGCUCUAUAAGAACCCCCCUCCUUUCCUCUAAGGAUAGAUCCAUCAGUCACCUACGAUCGUCGGAGUUUUUCUCCGAUUUUUCCGUUUGAAGCCGCGACUCCUCGACCUGUGCUCGCCGCGAUUUCACGCCGGUGGGGAUCACCGGAGGUUGUGGUAAGGUCUCCUUCCUCUCCCUCUCUUCUCUCCCUUCUUUCCCGUGCCUGUGGGCACGAUUGCCGGCAACGGGUGUCGCCGGAUUUUGUUGGAAAAGAGAACCCCCUGUCCGGCCUCUUCUUUUCUCCGAUUUUCCGACACCGACGGUCAC
rnacentral:lncRNA from 1 species